GCCAAAGUGGCAUAGUAGUUUGAGAACUGGACUACAACUCCAGAGGCCAGGGUUCAAUUCCCAGCGCG